AAACCAUUAUGUGGACAGUCCCGUAUCAACCUCUUAAACCUCUCCCAGGCAUCGCUGAGCGAUUCGUCCAUGUCUUGUUCAAAAUUUGUUAUGAAUUUCCUUUGUCU